rnacentral:rRNA from 1 species
AUGAGCAUCAUCCACAAUUUUGGACAAGCUUCGGGACUGAAAGUGAACCUGCUGAAAUCUUCAGUCGCUGCUAUCAGAUGCGACCACAUUGACUUGCAGCAUGUGCUUCAGAAUUUUGGAGGACAGCAAGCUCAAUUCCCCCUGCGUUAUCUUGGACUGCCAAUAACCAUCUCUAGGUUGUGCAUAGUCCACUUGCAGUUCAUACUAGACCGAAUCAGAGUGCGUUUGGCAGGCUGGAAGGGACAACACUUGUCCAUAGCAGGGAGGCGAGUACUCGUCAGAAGCAUGUUGGGUGCACUCCCCGCUUUUGCACUGACCGUUUUGAAGGUGCCGAAGAAGCUCCUAGCCGAGGUGGACAAGAUCAGAAGACAUUUCCUAUGGGUUCAAGAAGAAGAGGUCAGUGGCGGGAAAUGCAAAGUAAGCCGGACUGUAGUGUGCACUCCGAUCGACAAUGGUGGACUUGGCAUUCCAAACUUGCACCAUUUCAGCCGUGCACUCAGACUCAGGUAG